UCUCCUAAACUUUUUAUGUUCCAUUGAAGACCUGGAAAACAUGUUAAAUAAAAAUGCUUUGCCACAGCUGACCUAUGUCUUCUGGCUUGUACCCCACAACAUCUUAUCUAAUGGAGCCAGUCUUGGUGCUCUGUGUUCACCUGGUUCAUCUGAGGAGCUGCAUCUACCCUGCCCAUGCCAUAGAUCCUGCCCUGUUUGCUUCUCCUGUUGCUGCUAGUGGACAUGAGGUAACCACAGCCUAGUUCUGUGAUAAGCUCUUCACACCUGUACCCAUAUGGACUGUGGGAGAGUUUCUCUGAUAUGGACUGUGAUGCGGAUCUUGGACAUGAUACCUGGAUGUGCAGCAGCCAUCUGGUAAUUAUGAGGUGACAAGUCAAUAGACUGAGAUGGUGGAGCAGCAAAGAUAGAAAAGAAGGACAGAAUAACGGGCUCCCAGAUUCACAAGCCCCACCAAGAGGAUCACCCCAGGAACGCUUGGAGGCUGAGGAGUUCACUGAGGCUACUGCAUCUUGAGACUCAGGAUGAAGACCCAGCUUGGGGCUGUCAAAGGUUUUUUGCAUGUCUGACACCCAUGACUCCACCUGGACCUUAUGGCUCCACCCAGAAGCAAUUCAGCCCAACAGGAGGACAGCUUCAACCCAUUACGAUUUCAUCUCUGCCCCAACCACUCAGCAGCAAGCACCUGUUACCUGUCCACCCCCACCCCUUCCCCCAAACUGCCUUUGAAAAAUCCCUAACCUAUGAGCUUUGAAUAAGAUGAGUACGAACUUCAUCGCCCACGUGGCGUGGCCGGCCUCGUGUCUAUUAAAUUCUUUUUCUA
rnacentral:lncRNA from 1 species